GGUGGUGGAGUCAAUGUCCCUGGAGGUAUUCAAGGAAAGGAUGGAUGUGGCACUGAGGGACAUGACCCACCACCUUGGAAUGCUGGUAUGCUGCUAUCUGCAUCCUGAGGUUAAUUUAGCAGCAGUGCAGUGCUCCAUCCUGGCCCUAGGGAAGAGGAACAGGAGAACAGCAUCAAGGGAGAAGUGUGUGCUGCACCUGGAGCCUUCAUCACAUUUGCACAGACAAUCCUGCACUGAGGCUGGGCUGUUGCAUUAGACUUUGCUUAGGUCAAAGGAAAAUUAGGAUUAUUCCUCAAAUAACAAAUCUUUAAGAAAAAAUGUCUAUCGUAAACUGUGAGCAGAGUAAUUCAACCAUCCAAAGUGAAAUGACUGCAGGAGGCAUCCAGGCUGGGGUUAUAGCAUGACCUCAGCAAACACUCAGAAGGAUGAAUAAGUCAUUGAGUAUUUCACCCAGGGCAAAACAUACCUUCCCCUAGCAGGGAACUUAUCAGGAGUAUGAAUGUAAAUAAAGAGAUGUGGGACAGUGUAGCAGAAAUGCUAAGUCACAGCUUGAAGCAGUGAUUGAGCACCUGGUGGGAAGGUAGGGCCAACCCAGGGAGCUCAGGUGUAUGUAAUGCAGCUGAGUGACCAGACGGGAUGGAACCAGGAUCCACCCCUUCCCAGACCUCAUUUAAGGGUUGGCAGUGGAGGAAAAGGUUUCUUGCUGGACAUGAGUCCUUCCAAGGCUGAGCAGACUUUUUUUCCUUUGUUUCUGUGUCCACAGCUGCUGCAUUUGAGCACAUCCUCACCUGCUGCAGCCUAGGACUUUGUUACUAUGCUGUCAUUGCUGCGCUUUCCAUUGAGUUACAGGCAGUCAUAAGAAAUGAUCCUCACUUAGAGGGGAUGAGUGAUUCCUCCUUCAGUGGCAACAGCCAUUUUCAGGCAUAAGGUGUCUGUAUUCAGUCCUGUUGGCAUCAGCCACUGAGUGCCCUGUUUGCUCUGUACAAAUGUGCAAAUGUGUUAGAGCUUUAGGUCCUGUGGGUAAGAAGUUUCCCCUUUACUUCUGGUAUAGGGCAUUAGAAGUACCAAGUUACUUGUAAUCAGUGCAAGCACUGCAGGAAAAUGGUUAAGAGUGCAAUGUCUCCUGAGAUCACUCUAUAGGGCAAAUGUACAUCCUUCUUAUAAUUUCUGGAGUCUAUGAAGUCACGGGGUCCUCUUCAUGUUCGUCAGAAUAAACCAGUGCUUGGCUGGUCCUAAACUUCUCCAUGAAAUAUUUUGGGUAAUAAAAUACCUGCACGUUCAUUCUA